rfam:Carnobacterium maltaromaticum LMA28 complete genome
CCACAACUACAACCGCGCGGGAAUGAGUCUUAAGUUCAUCUAGGUGACGCUCACGACGGCGAGUCUAAGUCUAAUA